rnacentral:rRNA from 1 species
UACGUAGGCAGCGAGCGUUGUUCGGAAUUACUGGGCGUAAAGAGUGUGUAGGCGGUGCUCUAAGUUCGGUGUGAAAUCUCCCGCUUAACUGGGAGGGUGCGCCGGAACUGGAGUGCUCGAGCGUGGGAGAGGAAAGCGGAAGUUCCUGGUGUGAGCGGUGAAAUGCGUAGAUAUCAGGAGGAACACCUGCGGUGUAGACGGCUUUCUGGACCAUUGCUGACGCUGAGACACGAAAGCGUGGGUAGCAAACAGG